AAACGACUYCAGCGAGUCGGUAAAAAGGCUUCAAAGUUCCAGUUUAUCGCUUCUUAUCAGGAACUUGUCUUGGAGUGCACGAAGAAAUGGCAACCGGACAAGCUGAGAGUGGUUUGGACCAGGAGGAACAGACGCAUGUGCUCUAAGCUCCACAGUUGGCAGCCUGGGAUAAAGAACCCCUACAGGGGAACGGUGAUAUGGCCUGUUCCAGAAAAUAUCGACAUCUCCGUUACGUUGUUC